rnacentral:rRNA from 1 species
UGAUCAUGGCUCAAUUGAACGCUGGCGGCAGGCCUAACACAUGCAAGUCGGACGGUAGCACAGAGGAGCUUGCUCCUUGGGUGACGAGUGGCGGACGGGUGAGUAAUGUCUGGGGAUCUGCCCGAUAGAGGGGGAUAACCACUGGAAACGGUGGCUAAUACCGCAUCACGUCGCAAGACCAAAGAGGGGGACCCUCGGGCCUCACACUAUCGGAUGAACCCAGAUGGGAUUAGCUAGUAGGCGGGGUAAUGGCCCACCUAGGCGACGAUCCCUAGCUGGUCUGAAAGGAUGACCAGCCACACUGGAACUGAGACACGAUCCAGACUCCUACGGGAGGCAGCAGUGGGGAAUAUUGCACAAUGGGGCGCAAGCCUGAUGCAGCCAUGCCGCGUGUAUGAAGAAGGCCUUCGGUUUGAAAGUACUUUCAGCGGGGAGGAAGGCGGUGAGGUAAUAGGCGGGGCGAUUGACCUCCCCCCCCAAAGAAGCACUGGCUAACUCC